AGCAGCCGCGGUAAUUCCAGCUCCAAUAGCGUAUAUUAAAGUUGUUGCAGUUAAAAAGCUCGUAGUUGAAUUUCGGGAUCAAUUAAUUGGUCGUGCCUCUGGUACGUACUGAUUUUAUUGGUUUCUCCCUUCUGACGAACCAUGAUGUUAUUAAUUUGGUGUCGUGGAGAAUCAGGACUGUUACUUUGAAAAAUUAGAGUGUUUAAAGCAAGCUAACGCUUGAAUACAUUAGCAUGGAAUAAUGAAAUAGGACGUUUGAUCCUAUUUUGUUGGUUUCUAGGAUCGACGUAAUGAUUAAUAGGGAUAGUUGGGGGCAUUAGUAUUCAAUUGUCAGAGGUGAAAUUCUUGGAUUUAUUGAAGACUAACUACUGCGAAAGCAUUUGCCAAGGAUGUUUUCAUUAAUCAAGAACGAAAGUUAGGGGAUCGAAGACGAUCAGAUACCGUCGUAGUCUUAACCAUAAACUAUGCCGACUAGGGAUCGGAUGAUGUUAAUUUUUAAUGACUCAUUCGGCGCCUUACG
rnacentral:rRNA from 1 species